rnacentral:lncRNA from 1 species
GUAUGUUACAAUGGUUAAAGUAUCAAAGAAUGACAGGUACAUGGGAAACAGAAGUGCAAUGGUUAACUACUAAUGUUAACAACAGAAAUCCCAGAAAAACCAUCCUAGGUGUGGUGUUUGCAGCAGUAGUUUACAACAUCUGGAUGGAAAGGAACAACAGAAGGUUUCAACAAUCAAGCAGAGAUGCCAAAGAUCGAGCAAAGGAGAUUACACUUCAAGUGCACUUUACUGGCAUAAAGCUAUC